rnacentral:rRNA from 1 species
AUUGAACGCUGGCGGCAGGCCUAACACAUGCAAGUCGGGCGAGCGGAGGACGGGAGAGUAAUGUAUGGGGAUCUGCCUGAUGGCGGGGGAUAACUACUGGAAACGGUAGCUAAUACCGCAUACCAUCAGAUGAACACAGAUGGGAUUAGCUAGUCGGUGAGGUAACGGCUGACCUAGGCGACGGACCCUAGCUGGUCUGAGAGGAUGAUCAGCAACACUGGGAUGUGUACAGGGCCCGGACGCCAACGGAAGGCAGCAGUGGGGAAUAUUGCACAAUGGGGGCAGGCCUAAUGCAGCCAUGCCGGUUGGAUGAAGAAGGCCUUCGGGUUGUAAAGUACUUUCAGUCGGGAGGCGUUACCGACAGAAGAAGCGCCGGCUAACUCCGUGCCAGCAGCCGCGGUAAUAC